AUUUUUGCGCAGCGGCAGUAUCGUAUCCAAUGAGGUUUAUCUGAUUAUUGCCAGUUGAAAACUUUUCCCAGUACUCUACCAUGACAACUUGUAAUAUAGUCAACAUUAGCAAUUUUUGACAAUCUCUUCGGAGA